rnacentral:lncRNA from 1 species
GGUGGUAGGCUUAGUUUAUGAUUUAUUGAAAUCAGAAUAAUAAAAAAUAAAGGUGUAGAUUCAGAAUAUCUCAUGUUCAUGGCACUGCUUUGAAUAAGAUCUAUUGAAGAUUGAAAUCCGAAUCUAUUUUUCUUCUCUCACAAAUUACAGACCAAAAAGGUCUCCCCUGAUUCAAAAUAUACAAUUGUCAGUCAUGGCAUGCUUUGAAAACCAAAUAUCUAAUAUAAAACACAUUUUACCUCGGUGUAAAACCAAAAGAUAACCAAUUUGGCUUGGGCGAUUUAUAUCAGCGUUAAGCCAUUCAUUCCGCGAGAAAUUACGCUCGUAUAUUGUGAGUGAAGGCUUAAUUACAAAAAAAUAAAAGAAAGCACGUGAUCAGCAAGGAUUGCAGUCAUGAAACCUCGCUUUGUCUCUGGGACAUUCAACUAUCAAUCCGUUUCAUCCCAUCACAUUAUCAUCAUCACCAUAUGUUGUUCAUAUAUUUAUCAUAUAUAUUUAAUCAUGGUUUUACACAGGACAAGGAAUGAAACUUUAAGCGGCAGAAUUACACAUCAGGCCUACAUAAGAGCGCAAAUUCAUUACAGUGCAGUUAUACAAAAUGUUGUAUAUACAAACAAACAUAAACAUUUAUAUGCACAUAAUCACAUUAGUCCAGUUUGGAACAUGGUGCGUAAUAGGCCUCUAUCUCAUUGUGCCAAAUUAACACUUAACGGUUACGCACAGCGUUUGGACCAUGCAGUUGGCAAAAAUCGUAAAUUCCUCCAUGACUACAUUCGAUAACACAAGUUACCCAGUCCUGGUACAAAUGUUACCACCCGAUGGGGUAACGGGUUCUACUUGUAGGAUGUCCGGGCCUCUCUGAGAGACCUAUCGUAGGGCAUGGAGGCGAAAAAGGAGGUUCUCAGCUGACAGUUGAUGAAGAAGACGAUGAGCAGCACGAGCAGAAACAGAACCAGACAGAUCACCACGUAGGUUGCCAGGUCUGGUUUGUUCAUCUCUCCGCCCUCCCGCAGUCCACCCCUGUUAUCCGUGGGCCUGAGCAGGCCCGCCAUGCUCACCGAGCCGUUAGAUGCGUUCACGGACCCAGACGCGUGCGUCUGAUGGGCCAGCCCUAAGUCGAAGUCCGGUGCGUUGGUGGAAUUCAGCAGGAUUUGCCUCAACAUGACUGCUUGCGUCACCCGGUCAACGUUCAACUGGGAAGGGGAGGAAAAUACCAGAUUUUAAUCACAGACCAAUAUAACGAUAGGCAACCAUAACGUUCAACCAUGCAAAUGUAGACUAUGUGAACAGUUCGCAAACGAUCAUGAGAACAACUCAAUUUGGCUGUAGACCUGUGUGAAAGACAAUGACGCACAAGGAAGAAAUGGAGUGUGUCAAGAAGGCAAAGAUAAGUGAGUGUUGAGUCAAUAAUACCCCGUACGACUCCGCUACUUACUUUGGUGUGUGCAGCGGAGAGUCUCCGCAGGUGAGGUGGUGAUCCAGGGAAACAGUGCCCGCAUUCCUCAGACUCUGACCGCUCUAUCCAAUCUCUCCCGGGGAGAACGCGCUCUGGAGAGGCGGUGUUGUUCUGGCACUAAAUCCCCUGCGCCUACAGACCAUAUGUCCGUGAGUCACUAAUUUAGCCGCAGAACCGAAUUCGUAUAUCCUUGUAUGUCGAAGUCACUAAAAAUCACCAUAGGUUGUCUAGACUCGUUACCAGUGACGUAAACCGCCAGGAGCUUCUCCGGCGGUAUAGUGUUGAGAUCAUGAGGACGGAACUAGCGAUUUUAAUACUCGGAUUUCUUCGUUGAGAUUUCUUACCGUAAACACCUAGCCUAUCUGGACUGUAAGUUCACGUAAUGUCGCUAAAUGGUUCUACUUGGAAUAGCCUAGUUGGUAAAGUUUCAUAAGACCAUCCUUAUAAGCACGCAAUUUAUCUCGUCUGGCUGGUCCAAGUGGGUUCUUUAAAGCGCGCUGUAACAAGUGGAUUUAUCGGGUCGAGCGCGGGCUGAGAGAGGGUAGACAAGGGUACACUGGUUCACAGCCGGUUCCUCCUCGCGCCCCGCGCACGUUCUUAUUUCCAGGAAAGGUCGACAAGUCUCGGUUUUGAGUGCCUUCAACUCCAACCGAUCCCCCGACGGGAAUAUCGAUCCAGACCCGAAGAGUGGGGUGGGGAGAGAGAAAAUGUAUAGAAGGUUCAGAGAUCCGUCUCCUCUCCGGUAGCGCGAUCUCUUUCUCUCCAGGUCGUAGGCUAUACAGCUUCCUCCCUGCCUCGGUUUGUGUGCUGUGGGGAGAGGAUAGAUUGGUUACCAAGAGAGGUAGAGGGCGAACGCUGGACGGGCUUCCCUGUUCGCUCGGGGUUGGUUAAGAGAUGUCAUUGGACAGGGACGAGUUAAAGUCAAGCGUGUCACGUGACGUCUAGUUCCCCUCACUCUUUCCUUCUCUCGUGUUUUUCUCCCAACAUGUCCUUCUUCAUUCGUGAGAAGUUUGGAGAAUAUGACAGAACGCGCAUGAAUACAGCACAGCCCCUGAAGAGAAACCACAAAGACCACAGCAGAACAUUAGGCAUCAGUCUAUUCUCUAUUUUAGAAUGAAAGGAUAUGAUGACAUUUGUCAUGAAUAUUCAGGUGAAGGUGACCAUUGGGCCCAUCAUUAUUAUAGUAGGCAUUUGGGUUGUGUAUGAUUAAUACACCACUGCCUUAAAAGGUUGGCUGGCUGGUUCAUAUUCAUGUGCACCUGUCGUGGUCGCAACAGGACACGUUGGCAAGGCAAGGACAGACCGACAUGGUCCACUGAUGGACACAUGCACACACAUACCUCAUAAAUAUCUGCCAAGCGAGGAAAGAUUAAAAAACAUUUACCAUUGCAGAACAGGAGUUUGAUUUCAUGUGCAAUAUGAAAUCUUACAGUAUUAUAUUUUUACUAUCAUAACAAUAUGAUACAACAGAAUCUAUACAACUAGAAAAUAGUACAAAUAAAUAAAACCCUG